GACGGAGGAUGCAAGUGUUAUCCGGAAUCACUGGGCGUAAAGCGUCUGUAGGUGGUUUAAUAAGUCAACUGUUAAAUCUUGAGGCUCAACCUCAAAAUCGCAGUCGAAACUAUUAGGCUAGAGUAUAGUAGGGGUAAAGGGAAUUUCCAGUGGAGCGGUGAAAUGCGUAGAGAUUGGAAAGAACACCGAUGGCGAAGGCACUUUACUGGGCUAUCACUAACACUCAGAGACGAAAGCUAGGGUAGCAAAUGGG
rnacentral:rRNA from 1 species